rfam:Environmental sequence ctg11534, whole genome shotgun sequence.
CUGGGCGUUGGGUAACUGGCGCUGAACACCGUGGAGAAGUCAGCAAAGGGCAUAGUAGGCGACGCCACCGCCGAAGGCC